rnacentral:lncRNA from 1 species
UUCACACGUUUACACUGUGCAUAAUAAAUGUCAAAGCUGUUAUACACUAUCCACUUCAUACACUGGUUAUUUUAUACCAAUGUUUUUAAUGAUCUACUUCAGAAGAAGUAUAGAAGUAUAAAACAUAAAUGUUUUUGCACACAGUGCAUAAUUAACAUACACUGUUCUUAUUUGGUACUUUAAGUAUACAGGGUGUUAUUCUGCUGUAAACUGAUCACCACAAUUACCACAAGCAUUUUUAUUUGGUAUGAACUGAAUAUUUUGCACCUGAAAGUAUUUGGCCAAAGAUUGUAAAAAAAAAAACACUUUCUGAGUGAAAAGACAGAAUAAUUUACAUCAAACAAUAAUGUUUUUAAUGACGCAAUCAAAUUGUAUUCAGGGUGAAAUGAGGCUAUCUUUGUAAAUGUAUCCAAAUGGCUGUGGCUGUGUGGACGCAUUUUAAAGGUAAAAAAUGACCCAACAUAGCUAUUGGCAGACAUUAAUUUUCAGAAAAAAAGUGGCAACAUUAAUGAAAACCAGCAAAAACAAUCAUAAAAUAUAUUUCUCUCUAUAAAAACUAUGGACCUCUAGAGAAAUGUAUCUCUAAUAGACCAUUAACUUGUUCUCGAACAAACUCUUGGUUUAAUAGGUAUGACCAGCUAUGUUCAAAAAAAGCAGGCCUAGUGGGCCCAAAUAGUCAUUUCUGAAUAAUGGCUCUAAAUUGGUGGCCUGUUUUUCUGUAGAUCCAUUGUGUUGUAUGCUGGGGCAGAGAUGGGAUAAUUGUUUGUCUAUAUUCCCCAGCUUACUUUAUUUUUUUGGCUCUUGUAAGUGACUAAUUGGGAGAAUUGGAAAUUCCCAUUGUGAUUGCUAACGGAAAAUGGCAUUAAUGUGGAUAAAGAGCUCAUGCUGCUACAUAUGAAUCAAUCUGUCUGAAAACAGGCUAAAUAUGGAACAAGGCUGUUGACAGAGGGCUGCUGAGGACUUAUCUGUUUCUGGAAAGCUCUUAUUUGUAAUGGACCGAAGUUCCUCCUCCUGGAUUCAAGCAUUGCCAUAUCCUUUGGAGCUAUGCCUAUUGCAAGAGUACACUGAUGUCACUCACUGCAGUGUUAAAAUGUUCACUUCACCCUGUAUCAAACUGUUCAUCGUAUUCAUAAUAUUUAUCUACUCUGAUCAGUUUGCACUACUUCAUUCUAUAAUGCAAAUACAGAUUUUAGCACAACAAAAUCUUCUCAGCUUUUCUAUAUAUAAACUUCUUCCUUAAAUCACUCAUUUUUUG